GAUGUCCCUAUGAAAGGAGGUGGACACAAGAAUUAUUCCUUUCCCGGUCUUAACCGAAGCAUCUCCCAGCCGUAAGCCCCACUACUUAUUCAAGAACACAUACUUACUGUUGAUUACUUACUCUGCUGUGCAGAUCGCAGGAUCCUUUGAGCCGAACGCCGCAUGUGAUGUCCCUAUGAAAAGAGGUGGACACACGAAUUAUUCCUUUCCCGGUCUUAACCGAAGCAUCUCCCAGCCGUAAGCCCCACUACUUAUUCAAGAACACAUACUUACUGUUGAUUACUUACUCUGCUGUGCAGAUCGCAGGAUCCUUUGGGCCGAACGCCGCAUGUGAUGUCCCUAUGAAAAGAGGUGGACACAAGAAUUAUUCCUUUCCCGGUCACAACCGAAGCCUCUCCCAGCCGUAAGCCCCACUACUUAUUCAAGAACGCAUACUUGCUGUUGAUUACCUACUCUGCUGUGCAGAUCGCAGGAUCCUCUGGGCCGAAUGCUGCAUGUGAUGUCCCUGUAGAAAGAGGUGGACACACGAAUUAUUCCUUUCCCGGUCUUAACCGAAGCAUCUCCCAGCCAUCACAGGAUUCUCUGGGCCGAAUGCUGCAUGUGAUGUCCCUGUAAAAGGAGGUGGACACGAGAAUUAUUCCUUUUCCCGGUCUCGACCGAAACAUCCACGAGCUCUAUUUACCCGGAUACCCCCCUCACUCCGGGACGGGUGACAGACUAUCCUGGCUCUUGCUGGCCCCGUACAGGCACGAAUUGCUGACGACUCCACGCCUUCCCGGCGUCCGAGGUCUGGCUCCGUUCUGGUCGGGAGACACGGAAGGAACACUGAACUUUUAAAUUGCUUUUAACCAAAUAAAACCUUGUUCAUUUUUU